ACUACUGCAUAUAAGGUAUAACUUCAGACCGUUCCCCAGUACUACUGCAUAUAAGGUAUAACUUCAGACCGUCCCCCAGUACUACUGCAUAUAAGGUAUAACUUCAGACCGUCCCCCAGUACUACUGCAUAUAAGGUAUAACUUCAGACCGUCCCCCAGUACUACUGCAUAUAAGGUAUAACUUUAGACCGUCCCCCAGUACUACUGCAUAUAAGGUAUAACUUUAGACCGUCCCCCAGUACUACUGCAUAUAAGGUAUAACUUCAGACCGUCCCCCAGUACUACUGCAUAUAAGGUAUAACUUUAGACCGUCCCCCAGUACUACUGCAUAUAAGGUAUAACUUUAGACCGCCCCCCAGUACUACUGCAUAUAAGGUAUAACUUCAGACCGUCCCCCAGUACUACUGCAUAUAAGGUAUAACUUCAGACCGCCCCCAGUACUACUGCAUAUAAGGUAUAACUUCAGACCGUCCCCCAGUACUACUGCAUAUAAGGUAUAACUUCAGACCGUCCCCAGUACUACUGCAUAUAAGGUAUAACUUCAGACCGUCCCCCAGUACUACUGCAUAUAAGGUAUAACUUCAGACCGUCCCCCAGUACUACUGCAUAUAAGGUAUAACUUCAGACCGUCCCCCAGUACUACUGCAUAUAAGGUGCUGAUCACAUGUUUCAUGAACUGAAAUAAAAGAUUCCAGAAAUGUUCCAUACGCACAAAAAGCUCAAAUUGUGUGCAGAACUUUAUUUACGUCCCUGUCAGUGAGCAUUUCUCAUUUUGCCAAGAUAAUCCAUCCACCUGACAGGU